GCACCUAAAUUUUGUCCAUUACUUGCUAAUUUGUGCUUGUAUGAGAACUGAUGGUGCUACAAUACAAGUAGAGGAAAUCCACAGAAAUUGUUUUUCAUUUAUCUUGAGACCUGUCUCUGCAACUCUACCAUAUUU